ensembl:lncRNA
UGCCCAUUCUGUGCCUGUAAGAACUGAUUUGCGCCAGAGAAACUCAUCAAGUAGAGGCGAAGAAUAAAAAAGCGUUUGGGGGUAAAUGUAUUCAUUGAGAAGGGUUCUUCCCAAUUGCUUCGAAGUUUCCUUAAUGAAAAGUAACGCUCGCAGCGAUCAACGGCUUUCUGACGGAUUACAAACCUGGACGGGACCGUGGGGCUGCAUUUAAAGCGGCCCGGGCUCGGCUCCCAUAGUGUCGGAACGGGGUCAUCCCGGGGAGCGCGGGGCCGCGGCUCGGGGCGGGGAGCGGCGCUGGAAGUGGAUUAAUGAAUAUGUGAAUCACAGCUGAAGAGUGCCACUCUCACUGACUUCAUUAUGCAGAAGGUAGCAGGAAACAAAAAGACACGUGUGCUAGCUCACGGGCAGAAGUGCAGCACCAAUUCCAUGCCGCAGGCUGUGCUCUGGCUGACUUUACACCUGCUUCCCAAAAAGGGCCGAGGCCAACACACAUCAUAGAAUAAUAGAAUGGCCUGGGUUGAAAAGGACCACAGUGAUCAUCGAGUUUCACCCCCCCUGCUAUGUGCAGGGUCGCCAACCAGCAGACCAGGCUGCCCAGAGCCACAUCCAGCCUGGCCUUGAAUGCCUCCAGGGAUGGGGCAUCCACAGCCUCCUUGGGCAACCUGUUCCAGUGUGUCACCACCCUCUGUGUGAAAAACUUCCUCCUAAUAUCUGAUCUUAAUCUCCCCUGUCUCAGAUUAAAACCAUUCCCCCUUAUCCUAUCACUGUCCACCCCCAUAAACAGCCGACCCCCUUCCUGUUUAUAUGCUCCCUUCGAGUACUGGAAGGCCGCAAUGAAGUCUCCCCGAAGCCUUCUGUUCUCCAAGCUAAACAAGCCCAGUUCCCUCAACCUUUCCUCAUAGGGGAGGUGCUCGGGCAUCUGAGGUUGCAGAGAGGUGGGGAUGCUGCAUGCACCAGAAGUGGACAUGGAAAAGGAGUUUGGGAAUUUGACAUCCUCCAGACAGGGCAGGUGCAGGGCUGCAAGGACCAAGAGAUGCUGUGUGCCCUCACCAAGGGGAGAAUCAGUGUCUUAUCUGCAUUUGCUUGAUGAUAUGCAAUAUGUAAAAG